rnacentral:rRNA from 1 species
ACGGCCGUACCAUACUGAAUAUACCGGUUCUCUUUAGAUCACCGAAGUCAAGCAUCAUUGGGCGCGGUCAGUACUUGGGUGGGUGACCACCUGGGAACACCACGUGCCGU